AUGGCCACUACGAGUGCUUGCUCCCUAUGCGGAGGGCAGGAUAGCUGGCGGCAUUCUUUGCUGGAGUGUAAUGUGUCUAGGUGUGUGUGGGCACUUUCAGAAGCCGAGAUGGUCGAGCACAUGUGGGCAACCUCAGAACCUGACGCACGGCUGUGGCUCUUUGCCAUGAAUGACUCUCUUCCACCGGAGCAAUUUUAGUUGAUGAUUGUUACUUUAUGGGCGAUUUGGAGUGCAAGACGGAAAGCUAUACAUGAGGAUAUAUACCAGACUCCGUUUGCCACUGACAACUUCAUCAAAGCUUACUUAUCAGACAUAGAGUUUUUGAAGAAGGAGGAAGCACAUGGGAUAGCAGUACCACGACCCCGUACGUGGAUUCCACCACCAACAGAUUACUACAAACUCAAUGUGGACGCGGCCGUGUCACGCCCAUGUACGUUUGGCGCAGUUGGUGUGGUUUGCAGGGAUGAGAGAAGUUUGUUCAUGGGAGCGUUAGCUCUCGUUUUCAGAGGACUGCACAACCCCCAGGUGCUAGAAGCACUAGCUGUUCGGGAGGCAUUAGCACUUUCAGAAGAUCUCUAUAUCAACCAUUUACUUGUUGCCUCCGAUUGCAAGGUGGUGGUAGAUGCAAUCAGACAGGGAAGCUCAGCGGAAUUUGGAGCCAUUGUCGAGGAAAUCAAGGCUAGAGCAACUACCUUUAUUUCAUGUUCGUUUACUCAUGAGUAUAGGACCUCCAAUACGGAGGCCCAUAAUCUCGCAAAGCAUGCGUUAUCUUUAGGGUUUGGCCGACACACUUGGCUAGGACAACCCGGCGAUCUUCUUUUUGUACCUAUGAACAUUAUGAUUCAGUAA
rnacentral:rRNA from 1 species